UGCCAGCCGCCGCGGUAAGACGGAGGUGGCAAACGCUGUUCGGAAUCACUGGGCUUAAAGGGCGUGUAAGCGGUCGUUCAAGUUGGGUGUGAAAGCCCUCGGCUCAACCGAGGAAUUGCGCUCAAAACUACUAAGCUUGAGGGAGGCAGAGGUAAGCGGAACUAAUGGUGGAGCGGUGAAAUGCGUUGAUAUCAUUAGGAACACCUGAGGCGAAAGCAGCUUACUGGGUCUCUUCUGACGCUGAGGCACGAAAGCUAGGGGAGCGAACGGGAUUAGAUA
rnacentral:rRNA from 1 species